GCAUGGCCCUAUGUGCAUGUAGGCAGAAUUCAAGAAUGCAGUAACGGUUAACCUUCGGUGGGCAGUUUCGGACCACAAUAACAGGCCAGCAUUGUGCCUGUCCUUCCAUGGCCAUGCAUGCAGUGGACAGCAACCCCCUGAAAAAUAAAGGAAUGGGUCAGUGAAGGAACUCUUGCCCUUUGGCUAGUGCCAUAUUCAUCUUACCUCCCCCUUGGCAUAAGCGUCUUCAACGAUACUCAAGAAGCGAUGGAUUUGAUCAAAGGCAUUGCCAGGCCAGCCAGUUUGUUUGGCUCUACCCAGGAGAAGUUAGGAGGCGGUGAAUAUGGCAUCUCUGCAACAGAACAAAUGAAGAGCUGUUGUGGUGUCUGAGUCUCACCUGUAGACUGCGUGACCGGAGCAGGCUGCAUAGCAGAUGACCCCGUUUGGACAGGAGUUUGCCC